UACGAAGGGGGGCUAGCGUUGCUCGGAAUUACUGGGCGUAAAGCGCACGUAGGCGGCUUUGCAAGUUAGAGGUGAAAGCCCCGGGGCUCAACUCCGGAAUUGCCUUUAAAACUGCAUCGCUAGAAUUGUGGAGAGGUAAGUGGAAUUCCGAGUGUAGAGGUGAAAUUCGUAGAUAUUCGGAAGAACACCAGUGGCGAAGGCGACUUACUGGACACAUAUUGACGCUGAGGUGCGAAAGCGUGGGGAGCAAACAGG
rnacentral:rRNA from 1 species